rnacentral:rRNA from 1 species
UACGUAGGGUGCGAGCGUUGUCCGGAAUUACUGGGCGUAAAGAGCUCGUAGGUGGUUUGUCGCGUUGUUCGUGAAAACUCACAGCUUAACUGUGGGCGUGCGGGCGAUACGGGCAGACUGGAGUACUGCAGGGGAGACUGGAAUUCCUGGUGUAGCGGUGAAAUGCGCAGAUAUCAGGAGGAACACCGAUGGCGAAGGCAGGUCUCUGGGCCGAUACUGACGCUGAGGAGCGAAAGCGUGGGGAGCGAACAGG